rnacentral:rRNA from 1 species
AUUGAACGCUGGCGGCAUGCUUUACACAUGCAAGUCGAACGGUAACAGGUUAAGCUGACGAGUGGCGAACGGGUGAGUAAUGCAUCGGAACGUGCCCGGUCGUGGGGGAGUAACGCAGCGAAAGCUGCGCUAAUACCGCAUACGAUCUGAGGAUGAAAGCGGGGGACCGUAAGGCCUCGCGCGAUCGGAGCGGCCGAUGUCAGAUUAGGUAGUUGGUGGGGUAAAGGCUCACCAAGCCGACGAUCUGUAGCUGGUCUGAGAGGACGACCAGCCACACUGGGACUGAGACACGGCCCAGACUCCUACGGGAGGCAGCAGUGGGGAAUUUUGGACAAUGGGCGCAAGCCUGAUCCAGCAAUGCCGCGUGCAGGAAGAAGGCCUCGGUGUAAG